rnacentral:rRNA from 1 species
CUGAUGGCGAGUGGCGAACGGGUGAGUAAUAUAUCGGAACGUACCCGAGAGUGGGGGACAACCAGUCGAAAGAUUGGCUAAUACCGCAUACGAUCUACGGAUGAAAGUGGGGGACCUUCGGGCCUCACGCUCCUGGAGCGGCCGAUAGCUGAUUAGCUAGUUGGUGGGGUAAAGGCCUACCAAGGCGAUGAUCAGUAGCUGGUCUGAGAGGACGAUCAGCCACACUGGGACUGAGACACGGCCCAGACUCC